ACUGCUGAAAGCUGCUGGGAGACUGAAGACCGACCGCGCCAGGCGUAGAUCCGCAUACAGGCUCAUACAGCGACAGCUGGUUAGGCUUAAUCAUUAUAAUAAGAAUGUCGAAUGUUGCAAGGAGAUAUGCUUUACAAUUAAGUGACAUUUUGUGGUCAUUUUGCGCAGUUUCUCUACAGAGUUGGCUGCACCGAUGAAAACUGCAGGCCAACGUACAUAUAUCCAGCCGAGUUAAAAGAGCUGAUUCGUGCCGCCUUCCCAGACAAACUCUGCAAUUACCCCGACCCAUGUAAUGAAAAGAUACAUGCAGUCACCUUGGAUGAUCUCCAUAAUGUGAGCCCGGCUAAUCAGAGCUGGGUAUCCUAUGUAUGAAUAAGAUCACGACGCUUCUGAUUCAUUUCUGUAGUGAUUAAAAUGACUGUAGUGAUUGAAAUGAAGUAGCUUUUUACAUGAUAUCGUGGAUGUGGUGUAAGUUUAGACGACGUGUUUGUUUCAUACAAUAAAGGCAACAAAGUAUUGUAA